GCUGGAUAUACUAUUCUACGAAAAGAAUUAGCAUAAUGUAACCAGUGAUCACUCUCCUCUGGAUUGGGUAAGAAUUAAACAGCUAUUUUGAAUGAGAUAUUAGUGAUAUAAGGUAAAUACUGAUUUGCUUCUUUUCAGUCUUUUCUUUUGUAAACUGUCUUAUACCUUCCAUGUAGAAAUAUUUUGAGCUGGAAUAAUAAUAGAAAAUCAUAAAACAAUCUGACCAAUGAGAUAAUCUUAUGAACAAAAGAAGCAACAUUUUUGAUGCGGUCUUGUAAAUUGUAGUAAGUUGCCAUUUUUAGAAAAGGAAAUCUUAUAAAACACAAUAAAAUGUAGCUCCUUAAAAAACGAUGUAUUUUUUGAAUAGACAGGUAAAAAAUAAGUACUACAGUUUAAUACACAUAAAUGAGAGAAGGCCACCGCUGUAUAUAAACAGUCCCUUUUAAAUUAAACAGUGUGCUUUAAUUGAAUUGCCUGCUGAGCCAAACAAAAAUCAGGUCUCUCCCAGAAUCAGACUCUGACUGUCAUGCACUUUAAGUAAAAGCAAGCAAAAUAUCUCUCCAUGCUUUCAGAGAAUGCUGUAGCUUUCACAGAGUUUUGGAAAGCUUUUCAAUACGGUUUUUUAUAAUUGCAUUUUUCCCCAGGUUAAAAGAAAUCUCUAAUCACAGUGCCUUUUUUAUUCCCUUGGGUACUUCCCUACCUGUGUUACAGGAGAGACCACCGUGACUCGCAGUAGGAGCCCUCUUUGUAAGAUUCAAACUAAUUUUAUACAAAGUUAAUUGAAGCUUUAGACUAUUGAAUUUUUUAAGUAAUGAAACUGCCUUUUCAGAACUUUUCCACUUAAUGUCUGUUCCUUCAUGGAAUCAUUUAUCAUUUCUAACUGGCACAGUAAAAUCUGUGCCAUAUACACAUAAAUAUGUCAUAUUCAUAUGAAUCCUACAAUAGAUUAGUGUAGUGUGUGUGCUGUAUAACACAUGACAAAAGUUAAAUUUUUUAUAGAAAAUUAUUUAAUGAUAUACAAAAGAGAAUGAAAAUACGUGUUUAAUAUGUGUUUAAAACAGUUUACAAUGUAGUUAAAAAGAAAGCACUUAUUUUAUCUCAACCUCAUUAAUCAAUAGAUCACUGUUCUUUAGAAUCCUUCUUCAUGUUCUCUUCUCCAUCGUGUGCAUCUCUCUCUACUCUAGUGCCAAUCACUAAUUUACUUUGAUUUUUGUGAUCAGCACGUUAUACCUCUUAAAUAUAACUAUUAUAUCAUAUCUGUAUAUAUUCCAACCUAAUAUUAAGUUUAUGCUUCCUUUCUGAAUUUGUAGAAAUGAAAUCCUGCAAAAUGUUGAUGCAUUUUUAUGUAAUUCAUUAUUUCAUUAUACAACUUUAUUGCUAAUGGAUAUGUUGGUUUGUGUUUUACAAAAAU
rnacentral:lncRNA from 10 species